UACGGGGGGGGCAAGCGUUGUUCGGAAUUACUGGGCGUAAAGGGCUCGUAGGCGGCCAACUAAGUCGGAUGUGAAAUCCCCAGGCUUAACCUGGGAACUGCAUCCGACACUGGAUGGCUUGAAUUCGGGAGAGGGAUGCAGAAUUCCAGGUGUAGCGGUGAAAUGCGUAGAUAUCUGGAGGAAUACCGGUGGCGAAGGCGGCAUCCUGGACCGACAUUGACGCUGAGGAGCGAAAGCUAGGGGAGCAAACGGG
rnacentral:rRNA from 1 species